CCCUCCUCGGUGCUCCAGGCAGCUCUUCCUCACCCCAUCGUUAGUCACUCUCCUCCUGUGGAUUCUCUUAAGUUGGAGCGGCUAGAGCUGGGCGCGAUUGGACGCUUUCUUUCAUCGUCCCCACUGCGUCUGACAAGGCCGGAAACUUGUCCACAAUUUUACCAGGCUGGACAGCGUACAGACUCCUACCUGCUCACUCCUACGGUUAUGUUUGAAAAAGCGCUCUAUAAAUGUAUUAUGAUUAUGAUUGUGAUUGUGAUUGUGAUUGUGAUUGUGAUUGUGAUUGUGAUUGUGAUUACGAUUAUGAUUACGAUUAUGAUUAUCGUUAUGAUUGUUACAGUGGAACCUCGUUUAGUGGACUAAAGGGGGGGUCGUCCAUUACAGCCGAAUUUCUUUUAUAUAAGCACUUUUUUUCAUGGCCUAAAACACACACUACAGUAGAAAAUUACUGUAAAUAAAUUAACAAAAAAGCUUGAAAAUGUUUAUCCAAAAUUACCUGUUCCAACCGGGAUUAGCCUGCCGUUUACACGAGUACAGCCAGCCAAGCACACAUGGCUAAUUUACAUGCGAUUUGCAUGUGUCCGUGGCCAUUAUGUCUGAUAGCCGUUAAAUCCGGCUCCGUUAAAAUGAGGUUUCACUGUUUUAUUAUUAUGAUUAUUAUCCAUCCAUCCAUUCUCAACACCACUUAUCCUGUUCAGGGUGGCAGGGCGCUGGAGCCUAUCCCAGCUGACUUUGGACGAAAGGCGGACUACACCCUGAACUGGUUGCCAGUCAGUCGCAGGGCACCUAUAGACACAGACAACCAGUCGCACUCACAUUCACACCGUCAUUGAGUGGGAACUGAACCCACGCUGCCUGCUCCAAAGUCAGACUACCAAAUGGAGGCGGAAGCUCAGUCUACCAACAGACGGCAAGCCGGAUCAUUUGUGAUGAGUGGCGCUGAACUGCUCCUGGUGGAUCUGGCUCAGCAGCCCCUUGCAGCGUCGCUGUGUGGGAGGAACGCCGCCAUUACGCCUAUGCGGCUGCACCUGCUGCGAGCAUUGCCGCUUGCACGUCUGUGGGCGAGCGUUCAUUUCCCGCCUUACUAGCACACGGGGGAUAAUUGUGAUGAUUUGCAUUGAUAUAGCUCUGGGAAAUAAUUGUAAUGAAAGUCCCUCUUGCACAAGACGGAAAGUAAACUUUGAUCGGGGAGGCAUCACAAGGGCAGCAGGCUACACAUCCGCGAGUUGAACGACGCGUACUGUAUUUGGAAAAAAGUGUUGAUGAAAGCAUCCAAACAGUUCUUUUCGCAAGAAACGCGAUUAGCGGAUGCACCGCUGUCGCACCAUGAUGACGAUGCCGGAAUGGGCAGCUGAUGCUGAAGAGGCCUGGAAGGGAAGAUUCACAUCCAAUUUAUUUCCUUUCAUUGAUUUCCACUUGGCGCUGUCACGCUGUCCGCUUUCUUGAAGUUGUGAGCCGAGGAAAUUUCCCACACUGGGUUCCGCCAAAAUCAAGCGUGUAGCUUAAUGGAAGGCGCCCGCUCUCGGAAAGUGCAUGCGUGUCAUUU